rnacentral:rRNA from 1 species
UACGUAGGGGGCGAGCGUUGUCCGGAUUUAUUGGGCGUAAAGAGCGUGUAGGCGGUUCGGUAAGUCUGUCGUGAAAUCCUGAGGCUCAACCUCGGGCGUGCGAUGGAUACUGCCGGGCUAGAGGAUGGUAGAGGCGAGUGGAAUUCCCGGUGUAGCGGUGAAAUGCGCAGAUAUCGGGAGGAACACCAGUGGCGAAGGCGACUUCCUGGCCUGUUCUUGACGCUGAGGCGCGAAAGCUAGGGUAGCAAACGGGG